CCCGAUGGAAAACUUUCCAAAUCAUAACUCAUAUGAUGAAUUUCAAAAUACGAUGACCUUCAUGUUUUCGGGGAAGAUAACUAAUACAAUCUAUAAAACUAAAGUUCUCAAGUUCUUAUCUUAGAGAACCCAAAUCAUUUGUUUGGAACACCAUUACUAAGUACCGUUAUUCUUUAGAGAAUCAUCACCCUCGCGAUGCAAUUCUUAUGUUUUGUGAUUUCUUCGUGAAUCAGCAAUAAUCCCAAAUAAUAACUACAUGUGAAUAGCUUGUAUUCUAAAUGCUAGCUGUGAUAUUGUCUUCGCUGGAAGUGUUUGAUUGAGUGAUUUCCCGGAAUUCUUAAAUUCGUGGGUAUGUGAAUGGUGGAAAAAUUUAACUUUCCCACAACUUGUUCGACGAAAUGCCAGAGAAGGAUUCAUUAUCUGGACUAUUCUGGCAGUUAUAGCAGUACGGGUUCAUUUUGUCUGUCAUCGAUGCUUGGGCCUGAUCCAGAUUACCUGGCUGCUAACCCCAUAGAGGAACGUACGUACACAUCUAAACAAGUUCAGGAUGUAGUAAGGCCGUAAGCAGCUGAUGCCACGAGUCUCUAUAACAAACGAGCAGGUACAAAAUAUGAGCUGGUGGAGCCUGGUUACCUUACAUCUGUGCUUCUUAGGACAUGCUUUCUUCACCAUGUCGACUUCACGGCUAAGAAGACUGAUGUUGCUGAUGCUCCAGUGGAGAUGUUUUUUGCUGAACUGACAACUACCAGUGGGGUUCGUUGUGUCAAGGUUUGCAGAUGCAUGGGGCUAAGAGACUCGUUUUCAGGAGAUAAAAACAAGGGCUGCUGUUAUUUCACACAUGAAAAUGUUCAGCAUCCUAGGGAUGGAGGAUUUUCGCGUGGGGGUGAAGGAUUAUUCCUUGAUCGUUGGCACUGAACUUUUUAUGAACAUAACAAUUUAGAGUUGGACUAUAUUUGACGCAUGCGUAGCUUGCCUUUUGAUAUUUGUGCCUCUGAAUGAAAAUCUGGCCUCUGUGUUAAGUUUAUCGAUUCUUUAACUGCAC